AUGAGCAUAGUGACUGACAUGGCAGAAAUACUCAAGCCGUCAUUGAUUUACAAUGUAUGGAACACUGUGCAACCAAAGCAGUAUUUCCCAUCAGUAGGUGACAUGGUACAAAAAUUCAGGCCCACCACGAUUCUUGAUGCAUGCAGUAGUGCACUACCAAACCAGUAUUUGUCAUCAGGUAAGGGUCACGUACAUUUUGACAUUCCUUGGGCAAGCCCAAUACUGCAGGUGUGGAAAGGUUAGUCUAUCUGGAGUAAGCAUGAGCGUGUGAGCUAAGCGCAUGGACAGGAGUUGAAGCACGGAG
rnacentral:lncRNA from 1 species